GGGGGGGCAAGCGUUGUUCGGAAUUACUGGGCGUAAAGGGCUCGUAGGCGGCCAACUAAGUCACACGUGAAAUCCCCAGGCUUAACCUGGGAACUGCGUGUGAUACUGGAUGGCUUGAAUUCGGGAGAGGGAUGCAGAAUUCCAGGUGUAGCGGUGAAAUGCGUAGAUAUCUGGAGGAAUACCGGUGGCGAAGGCGGCAUCCUGGACCGACAUUGACGCUGAGGAGCGAAAGCUAGGGGAGCAAACAGGAUUAGAUACCCCGGUAGUCCUAGCCCUAAACGAUGAAUGCUUGGUGUGGCGGGUAUCGAUCCCUGCCGUGCCGAAGCUAACGCAUUAAGCAUUCCGCCUGGGGAGUACGGUCGCAAGGCUG
rnacentral:rRNA from 1 species